rnacentral:tRNA from 1 species
GGGGAGUUAGCUCAUCCGGUAGAGCAACGCUUUUGCAAGGCGUAGGUGAAGGGUUCAAGUCCCUUACUCUCCAC